rnacentral:rRNA from 1 species
GACAGAGGUGCCAAGCGUUAGGCGGAAUCACUGGGCUUAAAGCGUGUGUAGGCGGACCCGUCAGUGUCUUGUGAAAUCCCCCGGCUCAACCGGGGAACGGCUGGGCAUACUGCGGGUCUUGGGCCGCUCAGGGGCGAGCGGAACAGACGGUGGAGCGGUGAAAUGCGUAGAUAUCGUCUGGAACGCCGAUGGUGAAAACAGCUCGCUGGGGGCGUGCCGACGCUGAGACACGAAAGCCAGGGGAGCGAACGGG